AUGAACUUUUAGAAUUUCUCGGAAUGCAGUAUGCACAAACAAGCAAAAUGCCUUAUCAUCACCAUCUGCGCCUUACUAAACGGCUGUGCAAGUCAAAAGCCGGAGACAUCAUCCCAAAAUAUCCUCACGGAUACAACAGUCUCAAGCCUCGAGGAUGCCCUCUACGAGUUUGAGAUAAUACCAGACGUAUUAGAAGAUGAGCCACAACACGUCAUAAAAGUGAAAUUUGGAGACAAGGUUGUGAACCUCGGGAGCAAGUUCAAGUUAUGUGACUUACAGCUUCCUCCGAGCUAUGUAUCAUGGAAUUUUGAUAAAGGAGCUCUUUAUACACUAGUAUUUGCAGGUGUCGAUUAUCCUGUUCAUAUGCAGCACCAAUACCGAGAAUACCCUCAUUGGGUUAUGGGUAACAUCCCAGGCGAUAGUUUUCUGGCUGGAGAGACAAUUUUCAGCUACCAUGAUCCUGCUAAGAUUAAUUAUCUUCCUGGGUUUCACCGCUUUGUGUUCACACUGUACAAACAAAACUGUUCAGGACCUGUGAAAUUUGAGGAGAACCUUCCUGCCAAAAGGUUUCCUAUGAUGAUACAGUGAUAAAUUUUGGAAAUAUCAUCAACUACACAUACAUUUGGGAACACGAACCGACGCAUGUAAAGUGGCCAUACGAAGAGGGCGUAUUAUACACACUGAUCAUGACUUCACCAGAUGCUCCAGGAAGAGAGGAGCACAAUGAACGUGAACUUAGACUGUGGCUUGUCGGCAAUAUACCAGGAAAUGACAU